AGUGAACGCUGGCGGUAGGCCUAACACAUGCAAGUCGAACGGCAGCACAGUAAGUGCUUGCUUUUUCGGGUGGCGAGUGGCGGAUGGGUGCGGAAUACAUCGGAAUCUACUUUUUCGUGGGUGAUAACGCAGGGACACUUACGCUAAUACCGCAUACGACCUACGGGUGACAGCAGGGGAUCUUCGGAUCUUGCGUGAUUGAAUGUGCCGAUGUCGGAUUAGCUAGUUGGCGGGGUAAAGGCCCACCAAGGCGACGAUCCGUAGCUGGUCUGAGAGGAUGAUCAGCCACACUGGAACUGAGACACGGUCCAGACUCCUACGGGAGGCAGCAGUGGGGAAUAUUGGACAAUGGGCGCAAGCCUGAUCCAGCCAUACCGCGUGGGUGAAGAAGGCCUUCGGGUUGUAAAGCCCUUUUGUUGGGAAAGAAAAGCAGCAGGUUAAUACCCCGCUGUUCUGACGGUACCCAAAGAAUAAGCACCGGCUAACUUCGUG
rnacentral:rRNA from 1 species